rnacentral:rRNA from 1 species
CGGUUGAUCCUGCCGGACCCUACUGCUAUCGGGAUAGGACUAAGACAUGCUAGUCGAGCGUCUCCAAGCGUUGAGGCGUGGCACACAGCUCAGUAACAUGUGGCUAACCUGCCCUUGGGACAGGGACACCCCCGGGAAACUGGGGCUAAUCCCUGAUAGGUGUGGACUCCUGGAAAGGGUCCACGCCCAAAAGACGUCCAAAUCAUGCUUUGGACGUCGCCCAAGGAUGGAGCCGCAUCCGAUCAGGUUGUUGGUGAGGUAACGGCUCACCCAAGCCUAUAACCGGUACGGGCCGCGAGAGCGGUAGCCCGGAGAUGGACACUGAGACAAGGGUCCAGGCCCUACGGGGCGCAGCAGUCGCGAAAACUCCACAAUGCGCGAAAGCGCGAUGGGGCUAUCCCGAGUGCCAUCCGCUGAGGAUGGCUUUUCCCCAGUGUAAGGAGCUGGAGGAAUAAGGAGAGGGCAAGUCUGGUGUCAGCCGCCGCGGUAAUACCAGCUCUCCGAGUGGUAGGGACGUUUAUUGGGCCUAAAGCGUCCGUAGCCGGCUCAGCAAGUCCUCCGUUAAAUCCAACGAUUCAAUCGUUGGACUGCGGGGGAUACUGCUGGGCUAGGGGGCGGGAGAGGCCGACGGUACUCUCGGAGUAGGGGUGAAAUCCUAUAAUUCCGGGAGGACCACCAGUGGCGAAGGCUGUCGGCUAGAACGCGCCCAACGGUGAGGGACGAAAGCUGGGGGAGCGAACCGGAUUAGAUACCCGGGUAGUCCCAGCUGUAAACGAUGCGGGCUAGGUGUUAGAGUGGCUACGAGCCACUCUAGUGCCGCAGCGAAGGCAUUAAGCCCGCCGCCUGGGGAGUACGGCCGCAAGGCUGAAACUUAAAGGAAUUGGCGGGGGAGCAC